UACGUAGGUGACAAGCGUUGUCCGGAUUUACUGGGCGUAAAGAGCGCGCAGGCGGUCGAUCAAGUCGAGUGUGAAAGCCCCCGGCUCAACUGGGGAGGGUCAUUCGAUACUGAUCGACUCGAAGGCAGGAGAGGGUAGUGGAAUUCCCGGUGUAGUGGUGAAAUGCGUAGAUAUCGGGAGGAACACCAGUGGCGAAGGCGACUACCUGGACUGAUACUGACACUGAGGUGCGAAAGCGUGGGGAGCAAACAGG
rnacentral:rRNA from 1 species